CGGUUAUACGAGAGGCCCCAGUUGAUAAUAUUACGGCGUAAAGGGUGGUUAAGGAGCAUAAUAAAAUAAAGCCGAACAGCCCCCCGGCCGUCAUACGCUUCCGGGCGCUAGAAGCCCAACACUACGAAAGUAGCUUUAACAAAAUAUGCCUGACCCCACGAAAGCUGAGAAACAAACUGGGAUUAGAUACCCCACUAUGCUCAGCCAUAAACCCAGACAUUUACGUACAAUUACAUGUCCGCCAGGGUACUACUAGCAUUAGCUUAAAACCCAAAGGACCUGACGGUGCCUCAGACCCCCCUAGAGGAGCCUGUUCUAGAACCGAUAACCCCCGUUAAACCUCACCACUUCUAGUCAUCCCAGCCUAUAUACCGCCGUCGCCAGCUUACCCUCUGAAGGUAAAAAAGUAAGCGAAAUGGGCACAACCCAGAACGUCAGGUCGAGGUGUAGCGCACGAAGUGGGAAGAAAUGGGCUACAUUUUCUAUUAUAGAACACUACGAAUAUGCAACAUGAAAUAGUGCUUGAAGGAGGAUUUAGUAGUAAAAAGGAAAAAGAGUGUCCUUUUGAACCCGGCUCUGAGACGCGUACACACCGCCCGUCACUCUCCCCUGUCAAAAUGCAAUAAAAAUAAUUAAUACCAGAGCGCCGACAAGGGGAGGCAAGUCGUAACAUGGUAAGUGUACCGGAAGGUGCACUUGG
rnacentral:rRNA from 1 species